AAUAAUAUAAUUACUAUACGUGUAUUCUUUAUUUAAUAGUAUAAAGAUGCUUAAGAUAAUACAUAUCUCUAUGAUUUGAACAUACAUUACUACUAUAUUUUAUUACCAUUUAUAUAUGUUGGUUUUAAGUUUAAGGCUUGACUUUAAAAAAAAAUCUAUAAGUUUUGGAAAAAAAAAAAAAAAGAAAGUAUAAUCACGAGAAGUGAUUAUCUAAACACUGAUUAUCUAAAGCUCAUUGUGUAUUUUUCAUCUAAAGAUUACAAGACAUGAAGUAUGUAAAUAGAAUUCAAUUAUGUUGGAUUAAAAUUUCUCUGAAGAGAAUAUUAAUGUUGCAUACAUAUUGAAGAAUAUAUAUUCUAGAUAAGCAAUGUUGUCCAGCAGACACAUAAUUGACAAAAGAGAUUAAAGAAGUUUAUACUUGUCUUUUUGAGACUCAGAA
rnacentral:lncRNA from 1 species